UCCUUUGUUGCUUGAUCGGGAACGCCUUGAUCGUCGGACGCGAGCUGUAUGAUGCUGUCGCAAACGAGGAAGAGGUCGCGUGCUGGAGCUGCUCUCGGGUCACGAACGUCUGAGCUAGGAUCAGGAACGCCUUGGGCUGAAGCUGAUCUGAGACGCGAGCUGGAACAGAUGCGGGAACAAGAGAAGCGAACGGGGUUUAGGGUUCAUCGGAUCGCUGGCUAGGGUUAGGGUUUUAGGGUUUUUCGAUUUGGGUAUUAGCUUAGGGAUUUAGAGUUUCGUGCUGAUAAUGUGUUAUAAAAGUAAUGGAAAAGUCUCUCUUUAUUCGUAACAUAGAGGUUCCUUAUAUAGGAGAUUACACCGUCAUAGAUAAAUGGAAAGAUUAUAAAUCAUAAUCUCUUGGUUAUGAACCAUCCAUAAUCCGGUUCAUAA
rnacentral:lncRNA from 1 species